rnacentral:rRNA from 1 species
UACAGAGGUCCCAAGCGUUGUUCGGAUUCAUUGGGCGUAAAGGGUGCGUAGGUGGCGCGGUAAGUCGGGUGUGAAAUUUCGGAGCUUAACUCCGAAACUGCAUUCGAUACUGCCGUGCUUGAGGACUGGAGAGGAGACUGGAAUUUACGGUGUAGCAGUGAAAUGCGUAGAGAUCGUAAGGAAGACCAGUGGCGAAGGCGGGUCUCUGGACAGUUCCUGACACUGAGGCACGAAGGCCAGGGGAGCAAACGGG